UACGGAGGGGGCUAGCGUUGUUCGGAAUUACUGGGCGUAAAGCGCGCGUAGGCGGACCUGCAAGUCGGGGGUGAAAGCCCGAGGCUCAACCUCGGAACUGCCUUCGAUACUGCGGGUCUCGAGUCCGGGAGAGGUGAGUGGAAUUCCUAGUGUAGAGGUGAAAUUCGUAGAUAUUCGCAAGAACACCAGUGGCGAAGGCGGCUCACUGGCCCGGUACUGACGCUGAGGCACGAAAGCGUGGGGAGCAACAGG
rnacentral:rRNA from 1 species